rnacentral:rRNA from 1 species
AACGAACGCUGGCGGCAUGCCUAACACAUGCAAGUCGAACGAGACCUUCGGGUCUAGUGGCGCACGGGUGCGUAACGCGUGGGAAUCUGCCCUUGGGUUCGGAAUAACAGUUAGAAAUGACUGCUAAUACCGGAUAAUGUCUUCGGACCAAAGAUUUAUCGCCCAGGGAUGAGCCCGCGUAGGAUUAGCUAGUUGGUGAGGUAAAGGCUCACCAAGGCGACGAUCCUUAGCUGGUCUGAGAGGAUGAUCAGCCACACUGGGACUGAGACGCGGCCCAGACUCCUACGGGAGGCAGCAGUGGGGAAUAUUGGACAAUGGGCGAAAGCCUGAUCCAGCAAUGCCGCGUGAGUGAUGAAGGCCUUAGGGUUGUAAAGCUCUUUUACCCGGGAUGAUAAUGACAGUACCGGGAGAAUAAGCCCCGGCUAACUCCGUGCCAGCAGCCGCGGUAAU